AGACACUUCCCUGGGUUCUGAUCAAGAGGAUCUGUGGGGGCAGAGGGUGCCCUGAUGGCACCCCUGGGUGGAGAAAGAGCAGGGCCUGGUGAGGACUACUUUCCUCCUUGUUGGCACUUACCAAUGUGAGCCAGAUUCCGCCCAGCUCAUUUUCAUUAUCAGGAGUGGCUGUUUUCAACAUUGUUUACAAAGUAGCGAUGCUCUUCUAAAAUCCAAUGGAGGGUAGGGACCUUGUUUAGUUCCUAUGGGGCUGGGUACUGGCCAAUUUUCUAGACCUCUCAUUCCCUACAUAGGAACUGCUGGAUCCCAAGGGUCUGAAAACCCCUUCUCUGUUCUAGGUGAAUGGAUGGACGUCAGGAAAGAAAGAGGGAGAGAGGGUGGAGCUGGGGGGGUGGGCAGAAGGAAGGAAGGAUUUUUAUUGCUACUUUAUAACAUUGUAGUAAGAACCAGCAAGAAUAUUUUUACUUUGAAUCUGGUAAAUUAGGACUUCCUUUUCAUGUGCAUCAAACUGCCCUUUGAUUCUUUAAAUCCAAAUAAAACAAAUUAUGAUGUCAAGAGAUCCAAGAGAUAGUUCAGCGGGUACUAUCCUUGUUAAGCAUAUCUGCCUCAGUUUGAACCCUGGCCCUUACUUAUUAGCUGCGUGAUACUGAACAAGUUACUUACCCUUUCUUUCUGUGCCUCAGUUUCUUCAUCAGUAGAAGGGAGUGUCAAUAGUGCCUACCUUGCAGGGUUGUUGUGAGCAUAAAAUACACGAGUGUGUAUGUGGGUUUAGAAUCAUGUAUGACACAGGGUGAUGAUGUAAUCAACACUGGCUGUUGUUAUGGGUGUGGAAGUGUGUGAUUCCUUGCAGCACCAGUUUUUGCACAUAUAAUUCCUGGCCCUCCGGUAGGUAUCCUAUUUCACUUCAGGACCCUAGAGGGGGCUUGUUCACUCAGUAGAUGGGCAAGGAUUUGUGCUGCAGCGAGUUCUGUGAAGGUGGUUGUUUGGGCAAGGACAGGGGUGGGGGGGGGCGGCUUCUGUGCCUUUUGCUAUUUUGCUGGGGAAGACGGACUCUGUGGAGGCAUCCAGGUCCAAUCUUAUUUUAUGGUUGUGGGAUGUUUAUAGCAAACUCCUUCCUAGUCGAUAUGAUCUGUAAGUCCAGAGGGCGUCUGCUGGGGGAGACGGGUGGUCAGCGAAUGCUUUCUUCCUAACAGUUUCCCAGGCUGGGCUGGAGCAGAGAACCCUGGACUGCUGUGGGUUUCACCUAAAGUUCCCGGUCCUGUUCUCUGACCUGCUUCCUAGGGACAAGGUGGCAUUGCAGGGCCUUCCCAGGGUCUCCCAUAAGAAUCCUAAGGGGCCACAUGCAUGCCAAGGUUGUUGUUAGUGGCCCCUGAGAGCUGGCAGGGGCCACAGCCAGAACCUGGAGCUGGACAGUUCACACCUCCCCAACCCAUCCCUCUAGUCAUUCUAGAAGGUUCCUGUGGUUCCACCUGUCUGUCCAGGUGGCAAGCUAUCAUUUCCUGCAAGGACUUGCAAUUUGCUUUGCAAGACCAAACUCUCAGGCUGAAGUCGGUGAUAACAGACGGUGCACACCACGGAGGGCGAAGAGGAAAGGAGAGGGAGACUUGGUGUCAGAAGUGGGACUUCCGUUUGAGCAGGAAGUGAAGGAAGAAGCUGGGAAUCUCAGGAAUGCAGGAAUGGGUAUAUGAGGGUGUGCCGGGCCGGGAGAGAGGAGACCAGGCUGAUGGGAGUGGUAAAUGGCGUGUGGAUCUUGGAUGAGGAGGGUCUGCCUGGAGCAUGGGUAACCCUGAAGCCGCAUUGGAAUAGACUUGGCUGGAUUCUCUAGGAAACAGGACAGACAUAUUGGGAGAGGGGUUCACAAGGAAGGCCCUGUCUUCUGCCUGAUCCUGGCUGGGAAUCUUCCCUGACACUGUCAAGGGCAGUUGGAGUGAGGUCUGUCGCAGCACGUGUAAAGGCACACACAUAUAGCUCGCAGGUGUGACCAGGUGUGCUUGCACACAACCAUUAUCUCUGCUGAGUUUUCCAGUCUCUUAAUCCUUCUGGCUCUGAGCUUAUGAUCUGGGGCUUACAUACAAAUGACUUUAUAUAAGUCUUAGCAGGACCACAGGGUGCCAUCAUGUCAGAAGGGGAAACCAAGGGGCUGGGGUUGUAGCUCAGUGGUACAGCACUUGCCUAACGUGUGUGAGGCUCUGGGGUCCAUCCUCAGCACCACAUAAAAAAUAAAUAACUAAAAUAAAGGUAUUGUGUCCCUCUACUAAAAAUAAACGAAACAAAGGUAUCGUGUCCAUCUACAACUGAAAAAAAAAUUUUUAAAAGAAGGUGAAAACAAGGCACUGUAUUCUGAAGAAGCUGGUUCUAGGAGCUGCCCUUGAAUUAUUGUGGAGUCCAAUUUCAGGUAGGGGCUGCUGGGACUCCUUUAUUCAGCAGACUGGCUUCUAAAAUGGUUUCUUUCCCUCAUCUCUUAUAAAGCCAGGGAAGGGUGUUACCUAGGAGAGGCUAUUUGGAAAAAUAACCAUUUUAAUCAUUUCUCAGUGGUGCAGUUUGGUGGAGGGGGCUGGGAGGGAGAGGGUUGCUCCUGGGGUUUCCGGUCACCCCAGUACUCCUUUAGACCAUCAACGAGUGGAGAGUGCGGGGGGGGAGGGGGCUUGUAGAGGACUCAGAAGGCUCAGAAAGGUGCAUAACACUUCACCAUAUGGAAAAGAGUGGCAGAAAAAGGAGGAAGACUUCAACUUAAGGUGAUAGGGGGUGGCCGAACCUGGGGAGGCUCAUGAUGCAGGUGACGUCCCAGUGCAUAGUGCUCCUCGGAUAGAAGUGUCUUUGGUAAGAGGGAGGAGUGUGAGGCCAUGUGUCCUUAGGUCACCUCCCCAUAGUACUGACCACCUGAGUUCCUCCUGUCCCCUCUUGAGAGCUGCCACCAUCAUCCCUUGCCCUAUGAGUGGCUACCUCCCACUCCUGAGUGCCUUUUAUUCUCCUUCUCCCUUGGGCUGUGAGAACGGCAGAGUGCCCAGCCAGGGAAUGGACAUGGAUGUGUGUGGUUGUGCAUGCGUGUGUGUGUGUGUGUGUGUGUGUGUGUGUAGGGGCUGGGGCUGACAGCAGGUCAGAGCACAGGAGUAGAGAGCUUCUGGCAGGUGAGGCUGCCCUUAGGUCAGCUCUGUACCCUGGAGCCCAGAGGACUCUUCACUCAGACGGCAACAGCCGGCAAGACCCGAGAGGCCAGAGCAGCUUCAGUCACUGACCAGAGGAGACCCCGAGGAGCCCGGGAGGAGCCGCAGGAGUGCUCACGAUGACAGUACCCUGGAAAGCUCUGGAAUAAAAAUACCCGGGCUUUAGGUCGUGGAGGUGAUGGUGGGCUCCUGCUCCACAUCCUGAUGGGACUCUCUGGAGCUGACAGAACGCUUUACUGCCUACAACUUGGGCCUGGUGCUUCUUUCAAGGUCUGUGUUCUAUGAGUUCAUGGCUACCUUGCUCCUGGCUGACUGUAACUACUUCUGCCAGCCAGUGGACUACAACCGAGCAAGCUAGGGUGAGGGUACAGCAGGAAGGGGACAAUUAAGGCUGAAGAGGGAGGAUUGGUGGAAAGACCCUCAUUUAACAACCAGAACUGGAUCAAGACAAAGUCACCAAGCUUUCUGACGGGAGGCUGGGGACUGGCUGGUUAGGCACAGGCUUUGGAAUCAGAGGAGCUCAGACCUCAGUUUGGACAUCAGAUCUGCCAGUUACUGGCCAUGUGACAUACCUUUUUUGGAUCUCAAUUUUCUUAUCUAUGUAAUGGGGAUAGGAACACUUACUUUAUAAAAGGAAACUUUGGGGAAAGAUUGAAUUAGACAAUGUCUGAGUGUUUAGCUCUGAGACAGGCGCGUAUUACUGGUAUCUAAGUGGUAGUUAUUUCAUUAUUGCUAGCUGUUCUCAGUUUCAACUGGAAGUAGAACAAAAGGCUUCCCAGCAGCAAGAAAGCUAAGCUUUGACAGGUCACCAAGUAGUGAUAGGGAUGUUGAGUCACUGGAGUUCCAACAAGGAGCUAAAAGUCUUGCGACUCAAAAUAUGGUCCACAGACCAGCAGCAUCAGCAUCGCCGGGAGCUUGUUCAACAAGCAAAAUCUGUGCCCCACCUCACGCAGCAAGCACAUAGAUUAAGAAUCUGCUUUUCAAUAAACAAGAUCUGCAUGUGCUUAGGAUUGAGC